UCACUUUUCACUGAUCCAAAGGAGGUCACGUGGGAUUGCUUGAAAAUGGCGAAACGAAACUUGUGAAUCGUGCAUUUGCUCUUCUUGGUAGCUGCCAGAAAAUCGAAUCAAGCUUAUGGGACACUGGAUUACAGGUUGCUGCCACUACUCCAUGUGCCCGCAAUUGUCUUGCGUGUAUGAUUACACUAACGGCGUCGCCCACCACGGCGGAAGUGUUUUGCGUACACGCGUUUCAGCAUGAAGCCUGCAGGUGGACGUAAAUUGUAGAAGGCAGCUAGUGGGGGAGAAGAUCAUGGUCAUAGGUCAUGUGACUCCUGGAGCUCCCAGUGGGCUCCCUUGUGGAGUACUUUUCAGAACACACACACAUACAGUUUGCUCACAGAACCAACGAGUAGGAUGUUGCUUGAAUACUGAGAGAAAAUGGCGUAACACAUACAAAUAUCGUGUGACACAUAUGACAAUAAAAACAUUUUUCACGAGGGAUGCAUGAAACACUGUCGCAAUAUUGUGUGCAUGAACCAUUGUGUGU